CAGUAGCCGCGGGAACACGUAGGUGGCAAGCGUUGUCCGGAAUUAUUGGGCGUAAAGGGCUCGCAGGCGGUUUCUUAAGUCUGAUGUGAAAGCCCCCGGCCCAACCGGGGAGGGUCAUUGGAAACUGGGAAACUUGAGUGCAGAAGAGGAGAGUGGAAUUCCACGUGUAGCGGUGAAAUGCGUAGAGAUGUGGAGGAACACCAGUGGCGAAGGCGACUCUCUGGUCUGUAACUGACGCUGAGGAGCGAAAGCGUGGGGAGCGAACAGGAUUAGAUACCCGCGUAGUCCCUGUCUCUUAUAC
rnacentral:rRNA from 1 species